UACGAAGGGGGCUAGCGUUGUUCGGAAUUACUGGGCGUAAAGCGUAUGCAGGCGGGUCGAUCAGUCAGGGGUGAAAUCCCGAGGCUCAACCUCGGAACUGCCUUUGAUACUGUCGAUCUUGAGUCCGGGAGAGGUGAGUGGAACUGCGAGUGUAGAGGUGAAAUUCGUAGAUAUUCGCAAGAACACCAGUGGCGAAGGCGGCUCACUGGCCCGGUACUGACGCUGAGAUACGAAAGCGUGGGGAGCAAACAGG
rnacentral:rRNA from 1 species